CUAUCAUAAAAAAUGAAAAAAAUGAAACUAUUAACAUCUACCUUCUUGAAGAAGGUCUCGGUACAAAUCCGGUGACUGGAAAUAAAAAUACGUAAAUCCAAAAAAUUAACUUGGCUGUCACUAUGGUCCAUGGUAAGUUGAAUUCCCCAUGAAUUGGAGUUCAGGUACGACAAGAACGAAGCCAGCUCUUCUGUAGAACCUCUCCAAAUCCAAAAUAGAUCAUCAAUGUAACGGCGAUAGGUGACC